rnacentral:rRNA from 1 species
GUCCACGCCGUAAACGAUGGAUACUAGCUGUUGGGGUUUACCUCAGUGGCUAAGCGAAAGUGAUAAGUAUCCCACCUGGGGAGUACGUUCGCAAGAAUGAAACUCAAAGGAAUUGACGGGGCCCGCACAAGCGGUGGAGCAUGUGGUUUAAUUCGAUGAUACGCGAGGAACCUUACCAAGGCUUAAAUGUAGAUUGACAGGACUGGAAACAGUUUUUCUUCGGACAAUUUACAAGGUGCUGCAUGGUUGUCGU